GACGAACGCUGGCGGCGUGCUUAACACAUGCAAGUCGAACGAUGAACUUGGAGCUUGCUCUGGGGGAUUAGUGGCGAACGGGUGAGUAACACGUGAGUAACCUGCCCUGGACUCUGGGAUAACUUCGAGAAAUCGGAGCUAAUACCGGAUAGGACCUUGCACCGCAUGGUGUGGGGUGGAAAGUUUUUCGGUUUGGGAUGGACUCGCGGCCUAUCAGCUUGUUGGUGGGGUAAUGGCUCACCAAGGCGUCGACGGGUAGCCGGCCUGAGAGGGUGACCGGCCACACUGGGACUGAGACACGGCCCAGACUCCUACGGGAGGCAGCAGUGGGGAAUAUUGCACAAUGGGCGCAAGCCUGAUGCAGCAACGCCGCGUGCGGGAUGACGGCCUUCGGGUUGUAAACCGCUUGUAGUAGGGAAGAAGCCUUCGGGUGACGGUACCUGCAGAAAAAGGACCGGCUAACUACGUGCCAGCCGCCGCCGUAAGAC
rnacentral:rRNA from 1 species